GUCUCCGGACCAAAGAUUUAUCGCCCUUGGAGCGGUUUGCUUACUAUUAGCUUGUUGGUGGGGUAAAGGCCUACCAAGGCUUAGAUGGUUAGCGGGUGUGAGAGCAUGACCCGUCUCACUGGGACUGAG
rnacentral:rRNA from 1 species